rnacentral:rRNA from 1 species
CACGUAGGGUGCGAGCGUUGUCCGGAAUUAUUGGGCGUAAAGAGCUCGUAGGCGGUGUGUCGCGUCGGCCGUGAAAACCUGCAGCUUAACUGUGGGCUUGCGGUCGAUACGGGCAUCACUGGAGUUCGGCAGGGGAGACUGGAAUUCCCGGUGUAGUGGUGAAAUGCGUAGAUAUCGGGAGGAACACCGGUGGCGAAGGCGGUUCUCUGGGCCUGUACUGACGCUGAGGAGCGAAAGCGUGGGGAGCGAACAGG